rnacentral:rRNA from 1 species
GGUUAAGCGACUAAGCGUACACGGUGGAUGCCCUGGCAGUCAGAGGCGAUGAAGGACGUGCUAAUCUGCGAUAAGCGUCGGUAAGGUGAUAUGAACCGUUAUAACCGGCGAUUUCCGAAUGGGGAAACCCAGUGUGUUUCGACACACUAUCAUUAACUGAAUCCAUAGGUUAAUGAGGCGAACCGGGGGAACUGAAACAUCUAAGUACCCCGAGGAAAAGAAAUCAACCGAGAUUCCCCCAGUAGCGGCGAGCGAACGGGGAGCAGCCCAGAGCCUGAAUCAGUGUGUGUGUUAGUGGAAGCGUCUGGAAAGGCGCGCGAUACAGGGUGACAGCCCCGUACACAAAAAUGCACAUGCUGUGAGCUCGAUGAGUAGGGCGGGACACGUGGUAUCCUGUCUGAAUAUGGGGGGACCAUCCUCCAAGGCUAAAUACUCCUGACUGACCGAUAGUGAACCAGUACCGUGAGGGAAAGGCGAAAAGAACCCCGGCGAGGGGAGUGAAAAAGAACCUGAAACCGUGUACGUACAAGCAGUGGGAGCACGCUUCGGCGUGUGACUGCGUACCUUUUGUAUAAUGGGUCAGCGACUUAUAUUCUGUAGCAAGGUUAACCGAAUAGGGGAGCCGAAGGGAAACCGAGUCUUAACUGGGCGUUAAGUUGCAGGGUAUAGACCCGAAACCCGGUGAUCUAGCCAUGGGCAGGUUGAAGGUUGGGUAACACUAACUGGAGGACCGAACCGACUAAUGUUGAAAAAUUAGCGGAUGACUUGUGGCUGGGGGUGAAAGGCCAAUCAAACCGGGAGAUAGCUGGUUCUCCCCGAAAGCUAUUUAGGUAGCGCCUCGUGAAUUCAUCUCCGGGGGUAGAGCACUGUUUCGGCAAGGGGGUCAUCCCGACUUACCAACCCGAUGCAAACUGCGAAUACCGGAGAAUGUUAUCACGGGAGACACACGGCGGGUGCUAACGUCCGUCGUGAAGAGGGAAACAACCCAGACCGCCAGCUAAGGUCCCAAAGUCAUGGUUAAGUGGGAAACGAUGUGGGAAGGCCCAGACAGCCAGGAUGUUGGCUUAGAAGCAGCCAUCAUUUAAAGAAAGCGUAAUAGCUCACUGGUCGAGUCGGCCUGCGCGGAAGAUGUAACGGGGCUAAACCAUGCACCGAAGCUGCGGCAGCGACACUAUGUGUUGUUGGGUAGGGGAGCGUUCUGUAAGCCUGUGAAGGUGUGCUGUGAGGCAUGCUGGAGGUAUCAGAAGUGCGAAUGCUGACAUAAGUAACGAUAAAGCGGGUGAAAAGCCCGCUCGCCGGAAGACCAAGGGUUCCUGUCCAACGUUAAUCGGGGCAGGGUGAGUCGACCCCUAAGGCGAGGCCGAAAGGCGUAGUCGAUGGGAAACAGGUUAAUAUUCCUGUACUUGGUGUUACUGCGAAGGGGGGACGGAGAAGGCUAUGUUGGCCGGGCGACGGUUGUCCCGGUUUAAGCGUGUAGGCUGGUUUUCCAGGCAAAUCCGGAAAAUCAAGGCUGAGGCGUGAUGACGAGGCACUACGGUGCUGAAGCAACAAAUGCCCUGCUUCCAGGAAAAGCCUCUAAGCAUCAGGUAACAUCAAAUCGUACCCCAAACCGACACAGGUGGUCAGGUAGAGAAUACCAAGGCGCUUGAGAGAACUCGGGUGAAGGAACUAGGCAAAAUGGUGCCGUAACUUCGGGAGAAGGCACGCUGAUAUGUAGGUGAAGUCCCUCGCGGAUGGAGCUGAAAUCAGUCGAAGAUACCAGCUGGCUGCAACUGUUUAUUAAAAACACAGCACUGUGCAAACACGAAAGUGGACGUAUACGGUGUGACGCCUGCCCGGUGCCGGAAGGUUAAUUGAUGGGGUUAGCGGUAACGCGAAGCUCUUGAUCGAAGCCCCGGUAAACGGCGGCCGUAACUAUAACGGUCCUAAGGUAGCGAAAUUCCUUGUCGGGUAAGUUCCGACCUGCACGAAUGGCGUAAUGAUGGCCAGGCUGUCUCCACCCGAGACUCAGUGAAAUUGAACUCGCUGUGAAGAUGCAGUGUACCCGCGGCAAGACGGAAAGACCCCGUGAACCUUUACUAUAGCUUGACACUGAACAUUGAGCCUUGAUGUGUAGGAUAGGUGGGAGGCUUUGAAGUGUGGACGCCAGUCUGCAUGGAGCCGACCUUGAAAUACCACCCUUUAAUGUUUGAUGUUCUAACGUUGACCCGUAAUCCGGGUUGCGGACAGUGUCUGGUGGGUAGUUUGACUGGGGCGGUCUCCUCCUAAAGAGUAACGGAGGAGCACGAAGGUUGGCUAAUCCUGGUCGGACAUCAGGAGGUUAGUGCAAUGGCAUAAGCCAGCUUGACUGCGAGCGUGACGGCGCGAGCAGGUGCGAAAGCAGGUCAUAGUGAUCCGGUGGUUCUGAAUGGAAGGGCCAUCGCUCAACGGAUAAAAGGUACUCCGGGGAUAACAGGCUGAUACCGCCCAAGAGUUCAUAUCGACGGCGGUGUUUGGCACCUCGAUGUCGGCUCAUCACAUCCUGGGGCUGAAGUAGGUCCCAAGGGUAUGGCUGUUCGCCAUUUAAAGUGGUACGCGAGCUGGGUUUAGAACGUCGUGAGACAGUUCGGUCCCUAUCUGCCGUGGGCGCUGGAGAACUGAGGGGGGCUGCUCCUAGUACGAGAGGACCGGAGUGGACGCAUCACUGGUGUUCGGGUUGUCAUGCCAAUGGCACUGCCCGGUAGCUAAAUGCGGAAGAGAUAAGUGCUGAAAGCAUCUAAGCACGAAACUUGCCCCGAGAUGAGUUCUCCCUGACCCUUUAAGGGUCCUGAAGGAACGUUGAAGACGACGACGUUGAUAGGCCGGGUGUGUAAGCGCAGCGAUGCGUUGAGCUAACCGGUACUAAUGAACCGUGAGGCUUAACCUU